rnacentral:rRNA from 1 species
UGAACGCUGGCGGCAGGCCUAACACAUGCAAGUCGAGCGGAUGAAGGGAGCUUGCUCCUGGCUUCAGCGGCGGACGGGUGAGUAAUGCCUAGGAAUCUGCCUGGUAGUGGGGGAUAACGUCCGGAAACGGGCGCUAAUACCGCAUACGUCCUGAGGGAGAAAGUGGGGGAUCUUCGGACCUCACGCUAUCAGAUGAGCCUAGGUCGGAUUAGCUAGUUGGUGGGGUAAAGGCCUACCAAGGCGACGAUCAGUAACUGGUCUGAGAGGAUGAUCAGUCACACUGGAACUGAGACACGGUCCAGACUCCUACGGGAGGCAGCAGUGGGGAAUAUUGGACAAUGGGCGAAAGCCUGAUCCAGCCAUGCCGCGUGUGUGAAGAAGGUCUUCGGAUUGUAAAGCACUUUAAGUUGGGAGGAAGGGCAGUAAGUUAAUACCUUGCUGUUUUGACGUUACCAACAGAAUAAGCACCGGCUAACUUCGUG